rnacentral:rRNA from 1 species
GCAAGGCCGGCGCAGCCUGAUGCAGCGACGCCGCGUGGGGGAUGACGGUCUUCGGAUUGUGAACCCCUUUCAGUAGGGACGAAGCGCAAGUGACGGUACCUGCAGAAGAAGCACCGGCUAACUACGUGCCAGCAGCCGCGGUAAUACGUAGGGUGCGAGCGUUGUCCGGAAUUACUGGGCGUAAAGAGCUCGUAGGCGGUUUGUCACGUCGUCUGUGAAAUCCCUCGGCUUAACCGGGGGCGUGCAGGCGAUACGGGCAGACUUGAGUACUACAGGGGAGACUGGAAUUCCUGGUGUAGCGGUGAAAUGCGCAGAUAUCAGGAGGAACACCGGUGGCGAAGGCGGGUCUCUGGGUAGUAACUGACGCUGAGGAGCGAAAGCAUGGGUAGCGAACAGGAUUAGAUACCCUGGUAGUCCAUGCCGUAAACGGUGGGCGCUAGGUGUGGGGUCCUUCCACGGACUCCGUGCCGUAGCUAACGCAUUAAGCGCCCCGCCUGGGGAGUACGGCCGCAAGGCUAAAACUCAAAGGAAUUGACGGA